rnacentral:lncRNA from 1 species
CAUUAUGAAUAGCAUAUUUUAUUUUUCUUUCUUUUGAAAAAAUCGGUUGUGGCAAGAACACUUAAUAUGAGAUCUCAACUUCUAACAGAUUUUAAAAAAAAAUUUUUUUUUUGAGACAGAGUCUCGCUUUGUCACCCAGGCUGGAAUGCAGUGGUGUGAUAAUAGCUUACUGUAACUUCAAACUCCUGGGCUCAAGGGAUCCUGCUGCCUCAGCCUCUCCAGUAGCUAGGACUACAAGCAUGUACCACCACACUCAGGCAUCAUCGGGAGAUUGGUUUGUCAAAUGGAUACAGGCCUGAGAGAAAACAUCAACUAAAAAGACAUCAGUUUUGUCUGCCUCACGUCACUUUCUGGAAAGGCUUUGAAGGUCUGAAUAUAACCCAAAGGCUGACCCUCCCAUCAGUAAGAGGGAACCCCUCCUGCCUAACUGCUUUGAGCCAGGACGUCGUUCUUUCAUGACCUUUGGAUUUGAAUGUAAGUAUCUGUUCUUCUUGUGUCUUAUG